UACGUAGGGCGCAAGCGUUGUCCGGAAUUAUUGGGCGUAAAGAGCUCGUAGGCGGUCUGUCGCGUCUGCUGUGAAAACCUGGGGCUUAACCCCGGGCCUGCAGUGGGUACGGGCAGACUAGAGUGUGGUAGGGGAGACUGGAAUUCCUGGUGUAGCGGUGAAAUGCGCAGAUAUCAGGAGGAACACCGGUGGCGAAGGCGGGUCUCUGGGCCAUAACUGACGCUGAGGAGCGAAAGCGUGGGGAGCGAACAGG
rnacentral:rRNA from 1 species